rnacentral:rRNA from 1 species
CCUUCUUCUUCUCUCUUUCUCCUUUUUUCCUUUUCUUCCCUCUCUUUCCUUCUUUUCUCUCCUUCUUUCUUUCCCUCUCCCCUUCUUCCCCUUUCUCUUCCUUUCGAGACUUUCGGACUAGAGGCAGGUAGAGGCAAGUGGAAUUCCGGGUGCAGUGGUGAAAUGCGUAGAGAUCCGGAGGAACCCCGGUGGCGAAGGCGACUUGCUGGGCCUGAACUGACGCUCAGACGCGAAAGCAUGGGGAGCGAACGG